rnacentral:lncRNA from 1 species
UUUUUACCUCCGUUGUAGAGAAAACAGAUGCCAGAGGUUGCUGUGGAAGGACCAGGGAAACGGACUAUGAAAUUGACUUGUUCCAAGCCCAGCAAAAGAAUGGCACACAGCAGUUGUUGCCCAAGCCUGGGUGCUCCUGGUGGUCCUGCACGAUCGGCUGUGCAGUAGGCUUGUCAAGGAGAGGAUCCUCCCUGGCCUCUCCUUGGGCAGAGGAGGUGGUCCAUAAAGCUGCUCUGGAGCCAAAAUAUUGUAGUCACAUCUCGGCAGCGACCUGCCCUCAGGUGGCAUUUUCAAGUCAUGGAGAAGGUGGAGAGAGAAGCAAUCAGCAGCCACCCACUGCAGCUGGAGACCCCAGAACUUGGUGACUGCCUCCCAUGGCACCGGGAAGGGUGGAGGCAGGUUAGAAAAAUCAUCCCCUGUCUCCCACAGCCACCAGAGCAGGGCUCUGGCUCACAGGUGCCUUUAGGAGUAACAUUUCACUUGAGGGCUACACUGCCCCAUUUUAUAGGUGGGGAAACAAAGGCCUGGAGGGCUAGGGAGGAGGGCAGGCUCCCCA